ACCUAGAGGGGGAAGAAGACGACGGAGUACAAAUCACACCUUGACCACCGCUUGAGAAACUCCGGAGGAAGCUCAAAUGUACAGAAUGACAUUGAAAUGCACACGUCCAACUUUUUUUUCUCAAACGGCGUUUCAUCCCGGAAUGGACAGAAUUAUUCGACUUUGCUCGACAGGUGCUCGAGAGCGGCGCUCCCCCAACCUUUUUGUGGAUCACAGUGGAGACGACUACAAGCCGUUUGCGGACCGGUGACGAUAUUUUCCCACGUCGCGUUUAAACGGCCAUUUUUCAAGUACAAGUACAACUUUAUUGACAGAUGUGCUAACAUACAACACAGAUGAAAUUUCCUCCCUCUUAGUCGACGAGAGGAGCCGCCGCGGGUGCCCGCGCCGCCAUCAAGCCCCCGUUCCUGCCAAUAAAGAUGAUUCUGGAGUCGUUGGAUGGUGUUAUUAACAGAUCCUGCGUUGGGCGUUAGCAUCAUCGCCGAUCAGAAGAUGACGCGACCGGAUGCCGCUUUUCCUCCGGUGGCUGCCGGUUAGCUUUUAGCGACGAAACGGCUCACGUCUGCGCGGGCGGGCUGUGGAAACUCUGCUGGCAUUUUUUCCACUUGAACACCGUGGGGGGUGCUCCUUGUUCAAAUGAUUCAACGGGUUUCGCGUAUCGCCUUGUUUUUGACGACAUUGGCGUCCUUUUCCAUGCCGCUUUGGGCUAACUUCUCUCGUCCAAAUCGAAAGUCACGGCUGCCCCAUUAAGCUGUGCAUUUAGCGAGCUGGAUGUUUGGCCAAGUAGUUCCUCUUACUUUCUGUGUACUGCUUCUUUCAUUUAUAUACCGAUUCUCUUGAUUUAAAAUUUCAUUUGUACACAUUUCCGCCACAUCUGUUGGUUGGGGGACCCCUGCUAUAGAAGACUAGCAUUUGUCGGAAUCAGGGUCAAAUUCAGCCGCCAGGAGUUUCAUUUCCUGUGCGGACCCCCGACAGGUGAAAACAUGCUAUUAAGAAGUAACAGAUGAGGGUGACGAGCAGAGCGGCGGCCACCGUUCCCGUGGAAACGCCAAACUUGAGCCAAAAAUCCAGACUCACGCAAGCGCCGACAGUCUGGGCUGGGAGAGCCUCUCCUCCGGCACACCGCAACGGCUGCUGCCAGACCGGACACGCGUGCCGACUCUGCCAGAGGAAGUGGAAAGAGCAGCCAUCGCACGUGCCCUCCGAACAGUUACUGGCGAGGAGAAACCAAAUGGGGAGAUUUGUUGGGAGGUUGAUGGGAUUUGCUCAAACUAGGGCAGAGCUACAUAGCC